rnacentral:misc_RNA from 1 species
GGAAACUAAACAUGAGGAGCUGCCUCAACAAACACCUACUAAAGUUGAUCAACCAAGGAUGGUCACAUCCAAUAAUCAAAGUGGUGAGGUGGUUAUGCCGGAUGCUCGAGUGCGACACCUUAGGGAUCAGUUGAUACGGGCAAGGGUUUAUCUCAGCCUUGGUGCCACCCGAAGCAAUGCACACUUUAUCAGGGAGCUCCGUGGGCGAAUAAGAGAUGUUCAAC